AUAGUUUUAUUGUUGUUGGAAGUUUAUAGUGCAUUUUUUUUAGAGCAAGGCAAAGCCACUAUGGCCUUAUCCUCUCCCUCAACACUAAUAUUCUCCGCAACCAGCAGCACCACCGCAGCCUCCGUCGACAACCUCUGGCCUUGUUCUCUCUCCAAAUCUUCUCUCUCUAGAAACCCACCUGCAAAGCAAAGCAGCGAUGUUGUGAGCACCUCCUCCACUGCAAAAUGGAGGACCCGAGUCUCAUUUUUCCCGGCUUUCCUGAAUAAUCCCAAAAAAAAUGCCAAACUUAUCAAAGAGGAGCUUCUUGAAGCCAUUGCUCCGCUUGAUCGUGGCGCAGAAGCCACCCCUGAAGACCAACAAAUAAUUGAUCAGAUUACUCGCAGGCUUGAAGCGGUGAAUCCCACCAAGGCACCUCUGAAAUCUGAGUUGCUCAAUGGGAAAUGGGAGCUUCUGUACACUACUUCAGUGUCGAUUUUGCAAAUUAAGAGACCCAAGUUUUUGAGAUCAAAGGUGAACUACCAAGCUAUUAAUGCUGAUAUACUAAGGGCUCAGAAUAUGGAAUCAGGGCCGUUCUUUAAUCAGGUGACUGCGGAUCUCACACCUGUGAGUGACAAAAAGGUGGGGGUGAAAUUUGAUUACUUUAAAAUUGGUGGAUUGAUACCUGUAAAAGCUCCUGAGAGAGCCGUGGGGUCACUGGAGAUUACUUACUUGGAUGAUGAAUUGAGAGUAUCAAGAGGUGACAAAGGCAACUUGUUCAUCUUGAAGAUGAUUGAUCCCUCCUACAGAGUCCCUGCUAGCGGAUGAAUUUUAUCCUAUGCAAGCUAAAUGCUCCCAGUAUUUUAUCCUAAGCUGAGGAGCUUAGUACCCGACGUUGCUUCUGAAGCCUCCAGUACCACAACAUCAACAGCAUGGUGGCAAGGGCGGUGGAUGGAGCAAAGAAAAAAGAUAUGAUCCCACUUCCUCCAGAGGAAACACAGUGAUUCCGGAGCCAACUGUGGAUGCGAGUUGCAUACUGAUGCAAGAACUUGGAUCCCAAGUUCCGCAGCUGGGUCAAGUUAAGCUGGGAACUGGGAAGGUUCGCCACACUGGGCAGACAGCUAGGAAGUUUCAACAGGGUUUGACUUUCUGGGGAAAGUUCAUCUUGAUGGGAAUGAAGGGAAGAUGCGUGAAGGCCUUCAUGAUUAACCGGUGGAAAGACGUUGAUGUCGAUGCUGGAGCUCUGAUCUACCCCAAGCAUUGAACACUCAGAUUCAUUAUAAGGUUCCAUAGACCAUACAAUCAGAAGAACAGAGAGACUGGAUUCUGUAUUAUUCAAUCACUUAAGUGUAAAGAAUGUUUAGUUUUGUCAAAGUUAGCAAGCCGCACGACUUGAACAAAUUAUAUUGCUAGUUGUUGAGUGAUAAUUAACUUAUUCCUCCGCA